UACGUAGGGGGCAAGCGUUGUCCGGAAUUAUUGGGCGUAAAGCGCGCGCAGGCGGUUCGUUAAGUUGGGUGUUUAAGCCCGGGGCUCAACCCCGGUUCGCAUCCAAAACUGGCGAACUUGAGUGUAGGAGAGGAAAGUGGAAUUCCACGUGUAGCGGUGAAAUGCGUAGAGAUCGGGAGGAACACCAGUGGCGAAGGCGGCCUUCUGGACCAAUACUGACGCUCAUGCACGAAAGCGUGGGGAGCAAACAGG
rnacentral:rRNA from 1 species